UGGUUGAUCUUGAAAGAAGUCAUAUGCUUGUCUCAAAGAUUAAGCCAUGCAUGUCCAAGUAUAAACGAAAUCGUACUGUGAAACUGCGAAUGGCUCAUUAAAUCAGUUAUAGUUUAUUUGAUGAUGACUUGCUACAUGGAUAACUGUGGUAAUUCUAGAUCUAAUACAUGCAACAAAGCCCCGACUUCCGGAAGGGGCGUAUUUAUUAGAUAAAAAACCAACGCGGCUCGCCGCUCUCUUGGUGAUUCAUAAUAACUGCUCGAAUCGCAUGGCCUCGUGCCGGCGAUGCAUCAUUCUAAUAUCUGCCCUAUCAACUUUCGAUGGUAGGAUAGAGGCCUACCCUGGUUUCGACGGGUAACGGGGAAUAAGGGUUCGAUUCCGGAGAGGGAGCCUGAGAAACGGCUACCACAUCCAAGG
rnacentral:rRNA from 1 species